UAUUUGGCCAUAGAAAAGCCAUGUGAGUGAGUAAGGGGUGUUUGGCCUAGCUUUAAUUUAAAAAGCGCUUUUGGGUUGAAAAGUAAUUUUCUGCUCAAUAGAGUGUUUGGCAACUCAUUUUUAAAAUCUGAUUCUGUUUUUUAAAAUCAGAAAAGUAAUUUUGAAGGCCACAGAAUCAAAAGCAGAAAAAAGUUUCUUCUUGAAAUCUGAUUUAAAUUUUGAAUUUAAACUUCAAAUUUUUAUUUUUAUUUUAAUUUCAAUAUUUAAAUUUAACU
rnacentral:lncRNA from 1 species